rnacentral:rRNA from 1 species
GCAGCCGCGGUAAUUCCAGCUCCAAUAGCGUAUAUUAAAGUUGUUGCAGUUAAAAGACUCGUAGUUGAAUUUCGGGGUCAGUAAGUUGGUCGUGCCACUGGUAUGCACUGGCUUUACUGACUCCUCCUUCUUGAAGAACUGUGAUGCCAUUAAUUUGGUGUUGCAGGGAAACAGGACUGUUACUUUGAAAAAUUAGAGUGUUUAAAGCAGGCUAACGCUUGAAUACAUUAGCAUGGAAUAAUGAAAUAGGACGUUUGACCCUAUUUUGUUGGUUUCUAGGAUUGACGUAAUGAUUAAUAGGGAUAGUUGGGGGCAUUAGUAUUCAAUUGUCAGAGGUGAAAUUCUUGGAUUUAUUGAAGACUAACUACUGCGAAAGCAUUUGCCAAGGAUGUUUUCAUUAAUCAAGAACGAAAGUUAGGGGAUCGAAGACGAUCAGAUACCGUCGUAGUCUUAACCAUAAACUAUGCCGACUAGGGAUCGGAUGAUGUUAAUUUUUUAAUGACUCAUUCGGCGCCUUACG